rnacentral:rRNA from 1 species
UAGGGAAUCUUCCACAAUGGACGCAAGUCUGAUGGAGCAACGCCGCGUGAGUGAAGAAGGCUUCGGGUCGUAAAACUCUGUUAUUGAAGAAGAGCGUGUGUGACAGUAACUGGUCAUGCAGUGACGGUAUUCAAUCAGAAAGUCACGGCUAACUACGUGCCAGCAGCCGCGGUAAUACGUAGGUGGCAAGCGUUGUCCGGAUUUAUUGGGCGUAAAGCGAGUGCAGGCGGUCUUUUAAGUCUGAUGUGAAAGCCUUCGGCUUAACCGAAGAAGGGCAUCGGAAACUGGGAGACUUGAGUGCAGAAGAGGAGAGUGGAACUCCAUGUGUAGCGGUGAAAUGCGUAGAUAUAUGGAAGAACACCAGUGGCGAAGGCGGCUCUCUGGUCUGUAACUGACGCUGAGGCUCGAAAGCGUGGGUAGCAAACAGG